rnacentral:rRNA from 1 species
UACGGAGGGUGCAAGCGUUAUCCGGAUUUACUGGGUUUAAAGGGUGCGUAGGUGGGUAGGUAAGUCAGUGGUGAAAUCUUCGAGCUUAACUCGGAAACUGCCAUUGAUACUAUUUAUCUUGAAUACUUUGGAGGUAAGCGGAAUAUGUCAUGUAGCGGUGAAAUGCUUAGAUAUGACAUAGAACACCAAUUGCGAAGGCAGCUUUCUGGACAGGUACUGACGCUGAGACGCGAAAGCGUGGGGAGCAAACAGG